UUGGAAGAAGUCGUCGAAGGUGGAAUCAAUAACUGGGGUGAAGUCGUAACAAGGUAGCCGUAUCGGAAGGUGCGGCUGGAUCACCUCCUUU
rnacentral:rRNA from 2 species